rnacentral:rRNA from 1 species
GACGAACGCUGGCGGCGUGCUUAACACAUGCAAGUCGAACGGUGCCAAGCCGAUAGUAAUAUUGGCGGAAGCAUAGUGGCGGACGGGUGAGUAACGCGUGAGCAAUCUACCUUAAAGAGGGGAACAACAUUCGGAAACGGAUGCUAAUACCGCAUAAGACCACAGCACCACAUGGUGCAGAGGUAAAAGGAGAAAUCCGCUUUAAGAUGAGCUCGCGUCCCAUUAGCUAGUUGGUGAGGUAACGGCCCACCAAGGCUACGAUGGGUAGCCGACCUGAGAGGGUGAUCGGCCACACUGGAACUGAGACACGGUCCAGACUCCUACGGGAGGCAGCAGUGGGGAAUAUUGGGCAAUGGGCGAAAGCCUGACCCAGCAACGCCGCGUGAUUGAAGAAGGCUUUCGGGUUGUAAAAAUCUGUCCUUGGGGACGAAAAAAAUGACGGUACCCAAGGAGGAAGCCCCGGCUAACUACGUG